UACGUAGGGGGCUAGCGUUGUCCGGAAUCAUUGGGCGUAAAGAGCGUGUAGGCGGUCCGGUAAGUCCGCUGUGAAAGUCGGGGGCUCAACCCUCGAAUGCCGGUGGAUACUGUCGGGCUAGAGUGCGGAAGAGGCGAGUGGAAUUCCUGGUGUAGCGGUGAAAUGCGCAGAUAUCAGGAGGAACACCUAUUGCGAAGGCAGCUCGCUGGGACGUUACUGACGCUGAGACGCGAAAGCGUGGGUAGCGAACAGG
rnacentral:rRNA from 1 species